rnacentral:rRNA from 1 species
UACGUAGGGUGCGAGCGUUAAUCGGAAUUACUGGGCGUAAAGCGUGCGCAGGCGGUUCGUUGUGUCGGUGGUGAAAGCCCCGGGCUUAACCUGGGAAUGGCCAUGGAAACUGGCGAACUGGAGUGUGGCAGAGGGGGGUGGAAUUCCGCGUGUAGCAGUGAAAUGCGUAGAUAUGCGGAGGAACACCGAUGGCGAAGGCAAUCCCCUGGGCCUGCACUGACGCUCAUGCACGAAAGCGUGGGGAGCAAACGGG